rnacentral:rRNA from 1 species
UGGGGAAUAUUGGACAAUGGGCGCAAGCCUGAUCCAGCAAUGCCGCGUGUGUGAAGAAGGCCUGCGGGUUGUAAAGCACUUUAAGCAGGAAAGAAGGGUGGAGUGAUAAUACCACUUCGCAUUGACGUUACCUGCAGAAUAAGCACCGGCUAACUCCGUGCCAGCAGCCGCGGUAAUACGGAGGGUGCGAGCGUUAAUCGGAAUUACUGGGCGUAAAGCGCGCGUAGGCGGUUUGAUGAGUCCGUCGUGAAAGCCCUGGGCUUAACCUGGGAACUGCGGUGGAUACUGUUGAGCUAGAGUGUGGUAGAGGGAAGUGGAAUUUCCGGUGUAGCAGUGAAAUGCGUAGAGAUCGGAAGGAACACCAGUGGCGAAGGCGGCUUCCUGGACCAACACUGACGCUGAGGUGCGAAAGCGUGGGGAGCAAACA